rnacentral:rRNA from 1 species
GACGAACGCUGGCGGCGUGCUUAACACAUGCAAGUCGAACGGAAAGGCCCUGCUUUUGUGGGGUGCUCGAGUGGCGAACGGGUGAGUAACACGUGAGUAACCUGCCCUUGACUUUGGGAUAACUUCAGGAAACUGGGGCUAAUACCGGAUAGGAGCUCCUGCUGCAUGGUGGGGGUUGGAAAGUUUCGGCGGUUGGGGAUGGACUCGCGGCUUAUCAGCUUGUUGGUGGGGUAGUGGCUUACCAAGGCUUUGACGGGUAGCCGGCCUGAGAGGGUGACCGGCCACAUUGGGACUGAGAUACGGCCCAAACUCCUACGGGAGGCAGCAGUGGGGAAUAUUGCACAAUGGGCGGAAGCCUGAUGCAGCAACGCCGCGUGCGGGAUGACGGCCUUCGGGUUGUAAACCGCUUUCGCCUGUGACGAAGCGUGGGUGACGGUAAUGGGUAAAGAAGCACCGGCUAACUACGUG